AUUGAACGCUGGCGGCAGGCCUAACACAUGCAAGUCGAACGAGUGGCGGACGGGUGAGUAAUGUCUGGGAAACUGCCUGAUGGAGGGGGAUAACUACUGGAAACGGUAGCCAAUACCGCAUAACACGGGCUGUGCCCAGAUGGGAUUAGCUAGUAGGUGGGGCAAAGGAUCACCUAGGCCACGAUCCCUAGCUGGUCUGAGAGGAUGACCGGCAACACUGGAACUGAGACACGGUCCAGACUCCUACGGGAGGCAGCAGUGGGGAAUAUUGCACAAUGGGCGCAAGCCUGAUACAGCCAUGCCGCGUGUAUGAAGAAGGCCUUCGGGUUGUAAAGUACUUUCAGCGGGGAGGCGUUACCCGCAGAAGAAGCACCGGCUAACUCCGUGCCAGCAGCCGCGGUAAUAC
rnacentral:rRNA from 1 species